rnacentral:rRNA from 1 species
GCAAGUCGAGCGGUAACAUUUCAAAGCUUGCUUUGAAGAUGACGAGCGGCGGACGGGUGAGUAAUGCCUAGGAAAUUGCCUUGAUGUGGGGGAUAACCAUUGGAAACGAUGGCUAAUACCGCAUAAUGUCUACGGACCAAAGGGGGCUUCGGCUCUCGCCUUUAGAUUGGCCCAAGUGGGAUUAGCUAGUUGGUGAGGUAAUGGCUCACCAAGGCGACGAUCCCUAGCUGGUCUGAGAGGAUGAUC